rnacentral:rRNA from 1 species
UACGAAGGGGGCGAGCGUUGUUCGGAAUUACUGGGCGUAAAGGGCGCGCAGGCGGCUCUGAAAGUCAGAUGUGAAAGCCCCGGGCUUAACCUGGGAACUGCAUUUGAUACUCUGGAGCUUGAGUACGGGAGAGGAUAGUGGAAUUCCCAGUGUAGAGGUGAAAUUCGUAGAUAUUGGGAAGAACACCGGUGGCGAAGGCGGCUAUCUGGACCGUAACUGACGCUGAGACGCGAAAGCGUGGGGAGCGAACAGG